rnacentral:rRNA from 1 species
UACGUAGGGUGCAAGCGUUGUCCGGAAUCAUUGGGCGUAAAGCGCGCGUAGGUGGCUUCGUAAGUCCGUUGUGAAAGUCAAAGGCUCAACCUUUGAAUGCCGAUGGAUACUGCGAAGCUAGAGUACGGAAGAGGCGAGUGGAAUUCCUGGUGUAGCGGUGGAAUGCGCAGAUAUCAGGAGGAACACCAAUAGCGAAGGCAGCUCGCUGGGACGUUACUGACACUAAGGCGCGAAAGCGUGGGGAGCAAACGGG